GUCGAACGAGCUUCCGUUGAAUGACGUGCUUGCACUGAUUUCAACAAUGAAGCGAGUGGCGAACUGGUGAGUAACACGUGGGGAAUCUGCCCAGAAGCAGGGGAUAACACUUGGAAACAGGUGCUAAUACCGUAUAACAACAAAAUCCGCAUGGAUUUUGUUUGAAAGGUGGCUUCGGCUAUCACUUCUGGAUGAUCCCGCGGCGUAUUAGUUAGUUGGUGAGGUAAAGGCCCACCAAGACGAUGAUACGUAGCCGACCUGAGAGGGUAAUCGGCCACAUUGGGACUGAGACACGGCCCAAACUCCUACGGGAGGCAGCAGUAGGGAAUCUUCCACAAUGGACGAAAGUCUGAUGGAGCAAUGCCGCGUGAGUGAAGAAGGGUUUCGGCUCGUAAAACUCUGUUGUUAAAGAAGAACACCUUUGAGAGUAACUGUUCAAGGGUUGACGGUAUUUAACCAGAAAGCCACGGCUAACUACGUGCCAGCAGCCGCGGUAAUACGUAGGUGGCAAGCGUUGUCCGGAUUUAUUGGGCGUAAAGCGAGCGCAGGCGGUUUUUUAAGUCUGAUGUGAAAGCCUUCGGCUUAACCGGAGAAGUGCAUCGGAAACUGGGAGACUUGAGUGCAGAAGAGGACAGUGGAACUCCAUGUGUAGCGGUGGAAUGCGUAGAUAUAUGGAAGAACACCAGUGGCGAAGGCGGCUGUCUAGUCUGUAACUGACGCUGAGGCUCGAAAGCAUGGGUAGCGAACAGGAUUAGAUACCCUGGUAGUCCAUGCCGUAAACGAUGAGUGCUAAGUGUUGGAGGGUUUCCGCCCUUCAGUGCUGCAGCUAACGCAUUAAGCACUCCGCCUGGGGAGUACGACCGCAA
rnacentral:rRNA from 1 species